rnacentral:rRNA from 1 species
GACAGAGGGUGCAAACGUUGUUCGGAAUUACUGGGCGUAAAGCGCGUGUAGGCUGCUUCGCAAGUCGGAUGUGAAAGCCCUGGGCUCAACCCAGGAAGUGCAUUCGAAACUGCAGAGCUGGAGUCCUGGAGAGGAAGGCGGAAUUCUCGGUGUAGAGGUGAAAUUCGUAGAUAUCGAGAGGAACACCGGUGGCGAAGGCGGCCAACUGGACGGUGACUGACACUGAGACGCGAAAGCGUGGGAGCAACAGG